CCACAAAUCGAAAUAGCUUAUUUAAAUAUCUAAGUAGCCAAAGCUUCAAACAUGUCAAAACAAAACAAAAAAGACCCCUUUUUACACAUAAAUCAAUGAAUGAACUCUGACAAAAACGAUGGUUGAUAUUCUGACGAUCUAUCGUUGGUCCAUAAAUGCAAUUAUACUGUGUUUAUGUGCCAUAUUUAUCUUGCUACGCAUGUUAGUGACUAUCAUUUGCAAUGUCAGUGGAAACAUUUACCGGUGACACCGAGGCACUUACUUAAUCUAACUACAACUGAAACCGGAACCAGAACCGGAAACUGUAUGGAAACUUGAUCUAUAUACAAUCAAAUUUUUAACUUUAAACCUUGUUUAAAUUUUGUAAUUACAUUAAAUACAAUUCCCUAUUGAAAUAUAUACUUUUAAUAUAA